rnacentral:rRNA from 1 species
AGUGAACGCUGGCGGUAGGCCUAACACAUGCAAGUCGAACGGCAGCACAGUAAGAGCUUGCUCUUACGGGUGGCGAGUGGCGGACGGGUGAGGAAUACAUCGGAAUCUACUUUUUCGUGGGGGAUAACGUAGGGAAACUUACGCUAAUACCGCAUACGACCUACGGGUGAAAGCAGGGGAUCUUCGGACCUUGCUCGCUUGAAUGAGCCUAUGUCGGAUUAGCUAGUUGGCGGGGUCAAGGCCCACCAAGUCGACGAUCCGUAGUGGGUCUGAGAGGAUGAUCAGCCACACUGGAACUGAGACACGGUCCAGACUCCUACGGGAGGCAGCAGUGGGGAAUAUUGGACAAUGGGCGCAAGCCUGAUCCAGCCAUACCGCGUGUGUGAAGAAGGCCUUCGGGUUGUAAAGCCCUUUUGUUGGGAAAGAAAAGCAGCAGGUUAAUACCCCGCUGUUCUGACGGGACCCAAAGAAUAAGCACCGGCUAACUUCGUG